rnacentral:lncRNA from 1 species
UUAAUGAUAAAGUGUCAACACUUGAAGAUUCCCCCAUCUCUUCUGAACAAAACGGUGUAAGAAUGACCGUUCUAGCCCCUACGGUUAGGAAAUUAUGGUCAUUUGUUUGAGGGGAGUCGUCAUUAUGAGAAAUACACUGCAGAAAUCCUGUGUCUCUCUGUGCUGAGUGUGUAAAAACGGCUGCACCUGUUUUGGCGGGAAAAAGUACACAGCCUCUCUGAUUGGUGGAUUCAAAUUUAGCAGCUCCCAGGCUGCUUGACUGACCUAGAAACUUGCUUGUCUCUCCCUAUAUGUGUGUGUGUGUGUGUGUGUGUGUGUGUGUGACAGAGAGAGAGAAAGAGAGGGCGAGACAGAGUUUUUAUGGGAGCAUCUUAUUGUAUGAUUUAAAUUCAAUAUAUUUAGACUGGUUGACUGAAUUUGAUCCUGUGUGUGUCUCUCUGUGCAUGUGUGACUUUUUGCAGCUGUCCAUUUUGCUUUUCCAAUUUUUCUAUUUAAGUUAUUACUAUUCUGGUGAGUCAUAGCAUUUCUGCUGCUUUUCAGUAUUUGUGCUAAAUACAGCAUUUCUGCAAAAUCAUACUAUGUCUGCUAUUUUGUGAGAUUUGUGCUAAAUACAGCAUUUCUGCUAAAUCAUACUCUUUCUGCUAUUUCAUAAGAUUUGUCCUAAAUAUAGUGUUUCUGCUAUUUCUGCCAAAUUUAGUAUUUUUGAUUAAUUAGGGUUUUUCUACCAAAUCAUAGUGCAGUUUUACUGCUUUUUAUAGGAUUUUUAGAGGAUAUUUAUAUUGCUUAAUAUAAUAUUUCUGCUUUUUAUAGGAUUUGUGCUUAAUAUAGUUUUUCUAAAAAAUGUAGUAUUUAUGCUUAAUCAUACUAUUUCUAUAUAUUUCUGCCAGGUCCCCAGGCAGCUAAUCCUCUGUGAGGACUGAUACAUACAAAUACAUAUCAGGGCCUGCACGGCUUCCCAACCAGCCAAUCAUAUCUGGGGUCUGCCCUUUCUUCUCUUGUCAUAUCUCAGCGACAGAUGUACAAAGAGCAAUGCAAAUCACAGUCAAAGUACACCAAAGUCCGCUGAUUCACCCAGUACAAGAAUUAUGCUUCUAGUCCACCUAGUUUUUGAGUUACACGACGUUUUGUAACUGCAAAAAACGGCGUUUUUCCCCUCUCACCGCAAUCUGAUUCUGACUGCUCAUCACCCUGUUUUCCAGGCAUUCGCUCUCUUUCCCAGUGGGGCAGUUGGUAAUGACACAGGUCUGCAACCCAAAGGUCGCGGGUUCAAUUACACCUUGGGCAACAUGUGUUUUUUCCCUACAAAUUAAUACACUAUCACAGACCACUAAUUCAUAUUCAUCAUUUAUUACAAUUCUGCAACCUUUUAUGAUUUUAGCAGCUUUUGUAAUAUGGACCU